rnacentral:rRNA from 1 species
UACACUCCUGCGGGAGGCAGCAGUGGGGAAUUUUGGACAAUGGGCGAAAGCCUGAUCCAGCAAUGCCGCGUGUGUGAAGAAGGCCUUCGGGUUGUAAAGCACUUUUGUCCGGAAAGAAAUCCUUGGCUCUAAUACAGUCGGGGGAUGACGGUACCGGAAGAAUAAGCACCGGCUAACUACGUGCCAGCAGCCGCGGUAAUACGUAGGGUGCGAGCGUUAAUCGGAAUUACUGGGCGUAAAGCGUGCGCAGGCGGUUUGCUAAGACCGAUGUGAAAUCCCCGGGCUCAACCUGGGAACUGCAUUGGUGACUGGCAGGCUAGAGUAUGGCAGAGGGGGGUAGAAUUCCACGUGUAGCAGUGAAAUGCGUAGAGAUGUGGAGGAAUACCGAUGGCGAAGGCAGCCCCCUGGGCCAAUACUGACGCUCAUGCACGAAAGCGUGGGGAGCAAACAGGAUUAGAAACCCCUGUAGUCCCAUG